rnacentral:sRNA from 1 species
CUUUGGUUAAGUAGUUAAUAUCUUUAGACCUUGAUUUUUUGUUUUUGUUGUAUUAUAAUGUAAAAGCUAAGGACACCAAAAAUUGGUCUAGCUCAAAGCUCAAGAUUUGAAACGGCUCCAGAUGAGUGGCAUAAAUUAUAAAAUCUCCAGAAAGCUAGACGAAGCAGCAGGCGAAGAAGGCAGUCAGGAAGAACCGCGAAAGAAGCGACAACAACAAAAGAGGGACCGGCCGUCCGUUUACGGUCAUUGAACUGGGUCGACUGAGGAGAGAGCAGAGUGCCAGAGAGGAGCCAGAUCUCCGCUUUCAAGACAUUGUAACAGUAAAAUAUAAAAGAAAACGCCUCGCACAAUGCGUUGCAACCUGUACCUGUUCGUGGCUCAGGGCCCGGCCCCAAAUCAAUGUCGAGCUUAGGACUCCGCCUGCAAAACGCUUUCAAAUCUU